AUGCUGCACUUCUACAUAGGAUGCCUGAGCUACAAUCUCCGCAAGAAGGACAUACAGCGCUUUUUCAGUGGCUAUGGCUGCCUCCUCGAAAUGGACCUCAAAAAUGGGUACGGUUUCAUGGAGUUCGAGGACUCCCAUGACACCGACGACGCUUACGAGCUGAACAGCAAGAAGCUGUGCGGCAAACAGGUGAUCGUAGAGCACAGCCCGGGGCCCAUGCCGUGACCGCGAUGGCUACAGCUAUGGAAUCCGCAGUGGUGGAGGUGGAUACAGCAGUCAGAGAACUUCUGGAAGGGACAAAUAUGGACCACCUAUUCAUACAGAAUACAGGCUUAUUGUAGAAAAUUUGUCUAGUCGUUGCAGUUGGCAAGACUUAAAGGACUUCAUGCAGCAAGCGGGAGAGGUGACAUAUGCAGAUUCUCGCAAAGAAUGCACAAAUGAGGGUGUAAUUGAAUUUACAUCCUACUCUGACAUGAAGUGUGCUUUGGAUAAACUGGAUGGCACAGAAAUAAAUGGGAUAAAUACUAGGCUUUUUGAAGAUAAGCCACAAACAAGCCAUAGGUGCUUUUACUCUGGAAGUAGAUUCAGAUCACUAUCUAGAAGAAGGUCACAGAGUUGGAGUCGCAGGAGCAGCCGCAGUAGAUCUUGAAGCAUCUUAAAAAAUAUUUUUGACUCCAAAAAAAAAAAAAGUCAUUCCCAAUCUAGGUCACGGAGCAAAGGUGGAUCCCGAUCCCCCUCAAAAGGCAGGAAAUCCAGAUCAAAGAGCAAAUCUAAGCCCAAGUCUGAUCGGUGUUCCCACUCACAUUCAAGAAGCAGAUCUAAGGAUGAGUCUGGGAAGUCCCAAAAUAGGUCAUGUGCUCAGUCUCCCAAAGAAAAUGGAAAAGGAGAUACAAAGUCAAAAUCCAAAUCCCAGAGUCAGUCUCAAUCCCAUUCACCUCUGUUGGAUCCACCUUCAAAGACCUAUUCUGCGUCCCCUCCACCAAAAAGAGCUUCCAGGUCCCAUUCUAGAUAUCGUUCAAGGUCCAGAUCAAGUUCCAGAGAUUAA